GGGCUCGUAGCUCAAUGGUAGAGCAGGGGACUCAUAAUCCCUGUGUUCCAGGUUCAAGUCCUGGCGGGCCCA
rnacentral:tRNA from 1 species